rnacentral:tRNA from 1 species
GUGUAGUUAGCUUGGUGGUGUAAGCACCUGCCUGGAAAGCAUGAGAUUGUGAGUUCGAUCCUGGCACCAAACA